GAAAUAAUUUUUAAUUUCUCUUUUUAAUGUUGAAUAAAGUCAUGAUGUUCUAUAAUAUGUGCGCUUUUUUCCAAAAUGAAGGAAGGAGACCUUUUUCUUAAAGUUGUAAAGGAUCCAACAAUGCCCAGUGUUAUUGUUGCUUGAAUUCCAAUUACUGGGGAAGCAUUCUGCACAUCUUUACUCAUCACAUUUCAACAUGUCAUCUUCUCUAAGUGAAACCAGUUGUAUUAAAGCAGCUGUGAAACUCCAGUCAUCCUCCUCCUUUCAACUGCCAUCUGAGUGAUUUUUCAAUACUUCCCCUCACUAAUUAGUUUUGCAGAGCAUUGCCAGGUGGCCUGUUCACCUUUCUCAGGACUCUUGAGGGUAUCUGAAAACCCAGCAAUCGUACAACAAAGAAUUUGACAGAAUGCCAUAAAACACGUUUCAGACAUUGUAUGGGUAGCCCACAUAAAGAGAUUACAAAUCUUUGGGCAAAAUGGAUCAUCUCAGCCUUGUUGAUGUCCCCUGUCUUUUAGGUUUGGACCCCCGGGUUUUCUGGCUCUCACCGGGAGUGCUGGGAAGUGCUGUGUCUGUGAAUCAGUUAGGAACAUUCUCUCACUUCUACUUCUAAAGGGCUCUUCUCUGCCGGUUCCAGUUAGAUCCCUUGGUCGCUUGGUGAGCUUCAUAUCCCGCAGCAAAUUCUGUCUGCUCUGCAUACUGCAUACAGUGACUUGCACAACACCAAGUUGCUCUCAAAUGGCCCUUGAAGGGUUGAGAAACUCGGCAAUUUUCUUUGGGAGUUGGUGUCUUGUCUCUCAUCUUGCCCUUCUCUUAUUUCUUCGUGUCUUCUUUAGAGAUUUAUCACUGGGCAUAUAUAUCCCUAUGGACAUGGCAAUAUUUUCCAGAGAGCCUGGCUUACUUGCUUUCUUUCAAGCAUGCUUUGUGCUUUCCUUCUCCAUUAAUUUCUUCAUGAGAGUUUUGAGCAGGGAAAACCUUUAUUCCUUUUUACCUACAUCUUAGUCAUGUCUCACUUCCCUCCAUUUCUCUCCCUUCUCAGAAACUUUUCCACAGCAUUCUAACUCUAACUCAUUGUGACAUCAUUCUUAUUUCAGUUCCCAAAAUUUCUUAUGGCCAUU
rnacentral:lncRNA from 10 species